AACCAUGCACCGAAGCUGCGGCAGCGAACGUAUCACCCAAGACAACUUUACGGAGUUGACGAUUGACGGAGCGAAGCGACGUCAAAGCGUUCAUUAAAGUCGAGUUGGCUUAGGGAUACGUUCGUUGGGUAGGGGAGCGUUCUGUAAGCCUGUGAAGGUGUGUCGUGAGGCAUGCUGGAGGUAUCAGAAGUGCGAAUGCUGACAUAAGUAACGAUAAAGCGGGUGAAAAGCCCGCUCGCCGGAAGACCAAGGGUUCCUGUCCAACGUUAAUCGGGGCAGGGUGAGUCGACCCCUAAGGCGAGGCCGAAAGGCGUAGUCGAUGGGAAACGGGUUAAUAUUCCCGUACUUGGUGUUACUGCGAAGGGGGGACGGAGAAGGCUAUGUUGGCCGGGCGACGGUUGUCCCGGUUUAAGCGUGUAGGUGUGUGUUCCAGGUAAAUCCGGUUCACUUUAACACUGAGGCGUGACGACGAGGCACUACGGUGCUGAAGCAACAAAUGCCCUGCUUCCAGGAAAA
rnacentral:rRNA from 1 species